rnacentral:rRNA from 1 species
GACGAACGCUGGCGGCGUGCUUAACACAUGCAAGUCGAACGGAAAGGCCCUGCUUUCGUGGUGUGCUCGAGUGGCGAACGGGUGAGUAACACGUGAGUAACCUGCUCUUGACUUUGGGAUAACUUCAGGAAACUGGGGCUAAUACCGGAUAGGAUCUCCUGCUGCAUGGUGGGGGUUGGAAAUUUUCGGCGGUUGGGGAUGGACUCGCGGCUUAUGAGCUUGUUGGUGGGGGAGUGGCUUACCAAGGCUUUGACGGGUAGCCGGCCUGAGAGGGUGACCGGCCACAUUGGGACUGAGAUACGGCCCAGACUCCUACGGGAGGCAGCAGUGGGGAAUAUUGCACAAUGGGCGGAAGCCUGAUGCAGCAACGCCGCGUGCGGGAUGACGGCCUUCGGGUUGUAAACCGCUUUCGCCUGUGACGAAGCGUGAGUGACGGUAAUGGGUAAAGAAGCACCGGCUAACUACGUG